CUGACAGAAACUGGUUGUGAAAAAUUUAUUAAAUCUUUUACAGUUAGAAGCAGCAGUAGAACUUCUGGAACAUGGAGCCCUGCAACACAAACAGUCAGCUGGUAGCAGAUCCAAAGAACAAAUCCUGAGAGCUCAGAGACCCACCUCCAACAUGUUCAGUAUGCUUUGACUGGAACUUGGUCGCCCUUUGGAGGCAGGUAGCCUUUCGGAGGCAGGUAGCCCUUCGGAGGAAGGUAGCCCUGUGGAGGCAGGUAGCCUGGGUAGCUGAACACUGGACUGUACAGAGAGUCAGUGGGGACGUAGCGGGUCUGAGAGAAAUGGGCUCUUCCUCUCCUGUAGCGGGACCGAGAGUGGAAGUUGUAGACUGGAUCCAGACCGGACACAUCAGUGAAGAAGGGCCCAUCAGGGGUCUGGUCAGAGAUCUGGUCAGUGCUCUGGUAGGUGUAGACACCCGGAUAGCCGCCGUAGAAGCCUGUAUAGCCGCCAUAGACAUACUUGACCUGCUGGUCGGGUUUGGUGGUUGUAGCCCUGUGGAGGCAGGUAGCCUGGGUAGCUGAACACUGGACUGUACAGAGAGUCAGUGGGGACGUAGCGGGUCUGAGAGAAAUGGGCUCUUCCUCUCCUGUAGCGGGACCGAGAGUGGAAGUUGUAGACUGGAUCCAGAUCGGACACGUCAGUGAAGAAGGGCCCAUCAGGGGUCUGGUCAGAGGUCUGGUCAGUGCUCUGGUAGCUGUAGACGCCUGGAUAACCGCCAUAGACGCCUGGAUAACCGCCAUAGACGCCUGGAUAGCCGCCAUAGACAUAUUUGACCUGCUGGUCGGGUUUGGUGGUUGUAGAGGGAACGGUCGGGUCAGGACUUGUUGGUCCGCUGACCCAGGGUCCCGGAUAAUAACCUCUGGGGUUUGGUUCUCUGCCUGCUGCUAGUCCAGAAUCUGAGGAGAAACAGGUUAGUAGGAGACAGCUGAGAGCUUCAGAACAGCUCAGUGAGCUUCAUUAGCAUCCACUGACCUUGUACAGGCAGACAGGUGAUGCUUCCAACCAGCAGACAGGAAAUCCACAACAGCCUGAAGACACACCAGAACAUUUCAGAGCAAAUUCAGUUUACAGAGAUUAAGUCUGGCAGCAAGGGUGCCAGAAAUUGAAAUAAUGCAACAUCCCAAAUAGUAAUAGUUCCCUUGUACAGUUACUAGACAAAUAUAGAUCUGGACAUUUACUAAAGUUCUGACCCUUUUUAGUACGGUCAAUAUGUAAAUUAUGAGAUUGUACCAAUGGUCUAUACACUUAAACUGAAGAUUUUAAUUGUUAAACCAUUUUCCAAGAAUCCAUUUUUGAAACAUUGCGGUGAUUGAAAUAUACUUGAAAGUCAAAACUAUAACAUAGAUUUGAUAAAUAUUUACAGUUCCAGCACAUUUGCAUCUUAAAGUUAAAACUAAUUUUCCAACCUUUCUACCUAUGUGGAGUUCAACAAAACACAAAAACUCUAAAAACAACAAGCCAUUCAAAAUUAAAACAGUGUUUAGACUCCACAGAUUCUGAUCUCAGCCUCCUGCUUCAGUGACUCACCUCAUUGUGAUUGUGAGUAGAUCUAAAGCUGACCCGUGACCUGCCUCUGACACGCUGCAGACGCACAAAAACACACAAAGUUAAACUGCAGACACAAAGAAGACAAUGAAAGCAGAGCCAGCCGUUACCUUCUAGCAGAGCUGCAACUUCGUCCCAACAGGAGCUGAUCUGGGGAGCUUCAACCUGCAGCAGCUGCUUUAUAUGAAGCUCAGAGCAGAAGCAGCUGAUUGGAGCUGAUUGAUCAGAGACAGCAGCUGAUCGUCAAUGAAGCUCAGCUGCACAUUGUUGAAGCUCUGAGAUCAGUCUCACCUGCUGGAAGAUACAUUAAAAAAAAAAAAAAGAUCUCAACUGGAAAAUCCUCCUACAGUCCAACACUGAUGAAGAAAUGAGUCUGAAAACAUUCCUCUGCUGAAACACAAACAUGGAAAUCAGAGUCUGAAGGGACUGUUGAUGUUUUAUUGCUUCAACGAUGUGCAGCUGAGCUUCACUGAUGAUCAGCUGCUGUCUCUGAUCAAUCAGCUCCAAUCAGCUGCUUCUGCCCUGAGCUUCAUAUAAAGCAGCUGCUGCAGGUUGAAGCUCCAUAGAUCAGCUCCUGUUGGGACGAAGUUGCAGCUCUGCUAGAAGCACGUUGGAGGCAGGUCACGGCUCGGCUUUAGAUCUACUCACAAUCACAAUGAGGCUGUUGUGGAUUUCCUGUCUGCUGGUUGGAAGCAUCACCUGUCUGCCUGUACAAGAUUCUGGACUAGCAGCAGGCAGAGAACCAAACCCCAGAGGUUAUUAUCCGGGACCCUGGGUCAGCGGACCAACAAGUCCUGACCCGACCGUCCCCACUACAACCACCAAACCCGACCAGCAGCUCAAGUAUGUCUAUGGCGGCUAUCCAGGCGUCUAUGGCGGUUAUCCAGGCGUCUACAGCUACCAGAGCACUGACCAGACCUCUGACCAGACCCCUGAUGGGCCCUUCUUCACUGAUGUGUCCGAUCUGGAUCCAGUCUACAACUUCCACUCUCGGUCCCGCUACAGGAGAGGAAGAGCCCAUUUCUCUCAGACCCGCUACGUCCCCACUGACUCUCUGUACAGUCCAGUGUUCAGCUACCCAGGCUACCUGCCUCCACAGGGCUACCUUCCUCCAAAGGGUGACCAAGUUCAAGUCAAAGCCUACUGAACAUGUUGGAGGUGGGGCUCUGAGCUCAUGAAUUGUUCUAUGGAUUUGCUGCCACCUGACUGUUGCAGGUCUCCAUGUUCUAGAAGUUCUACUGCUGCUUCUAACUGUACAAGAUUUAAUAAAUGAUUUUCAGAACUAGCCUUUGUCUCAGUCUUCAUCACUUGAUCCUGAACAUGUCUGACAGCUGUGCUAAAUGAAGGCUUCUUACAGGCAGCAUUGCAUGACUAUUAGCUUUAGUCUUCAAGCAUUUAAAAGCUGCAUCUUGUCUCUGAAGGUCCCGGUAGUGAUUUAGGGAGAAGAACUGGAUCUAAACAUCUCUGUUGGGCCUGCUUCACAUUACAGCCUGCGUGUUUGAGAUUAUUUCUGCUGCUUUUUUUUUUUUUUUUUUUUUUAAAAACCUGAGGUCAAAGUUUUUCCCCAGCUUGUAUGCUUUGAAACCUGUUUGCUUAUGUAAUGUACUUCGAACAUGCCAUCAGCACUUGGUAAGGUGAAGGCCAUUCCAAAUUUGACUGGAAAGAACCCAAACUUCACUGACGCAGCCAUCUGCCUCAACUGUUAUG
ensembl:lncRNA